UGUAACAUCCGGCAAUACGAAAUAAUUGAAGAGGCUUAGAAUUGGAAAUUUUCAUUUUUGGAAAGAAUUUUAAAGUUUUGGAAAUUUUGGCUAAGUAUGGAAAAUGUGAAUUUUUGGCCAACUUUGAACAGCCAUAAAUUCUAGCUCAGGAUGAGUUAGGUGGAAUUCCAGUUAUGGUUGCAAAGUUCGUGGAACGAUCUUUCCAACGCCACUGAGUUUGCUCGAUUCCGAGUUUGUAUGAGUGAGAUAUGUCCUUUGAAAGUUGGGCAGUUGACAAGGAAUUCCGUCCGGGAAUCAUUAAGGGCAAUUUAGUCUUUUCCCUAGCCAAUUCUUUUGGGAUUAUAUUGUU
rnacentral:lncRNA from 1 species